AACGAACGCUGGCGGCAGGCCUAACACAUGCAAGUCGAGCGCGCCCUUCGUGGUGAUCGGCGGACGUGGGCUUAACGCUUGGUAACGUGCCCUUUUCUACGGAAUAUCCUCGUUUAACUGAGAGUAAUACCGUUUACGCCCUUUCGGGGAAAGAUUUAUAGGAAAAGGAUCGGCGCGCGUUGGUUUAGGUAGUUGGUGGGGUAAUUGCAUACCACGCAGACGAUCCAUAGCUGGUUUGAGAGGAUGAUCAUCCACAAUGGGACUGAGACACGGCCCAGACUCCUACGGGAGGAAGGAGUGGAGAAUAUUAGGCAAGGGGGGCAAAUCUGACAUAGCCAUGUGGGGUGAGUGAUGAAGGCCUUAGGGUUGUACAGCUGUUUCAGAUGGGAAGAUAAUGACGGUAACAGCAGAAGAAGCACCGGCUAACUACGUG
rnacentral:rRNA from 1 species